GACGAACGCUGGCGGCGUGCUUAACACAUGCAAGUCGAACGAGAGCGUAGAGAAAGCUUGCUUUUUCUACAAUCUAGUGGCAAACGGGUGAGUAACGCGUAAACAACCUGCCCUACGGAUGGGGACAACAGCUGGAAACGGCUGCUAAUACCGAAUACGUUCCGAAAGUCGCAUGACUAUCGGAAGAAAGGAUGGCCUCUAUUUAUAAGCUAUCGCCGGAGGAGGGGUUUGCGUCUGAUUAGCUAGUUGGAGGGGUAACGGCCCACCAAGGCGACGAUCAGUAGCCGGUCUGAGAGGACGAACGGCCACAUUGGAACUGAGACACGGUCCAGACUCCUACGGGAGGCAGCAGUGGGGAAUCUUCCGCAAUGGGCGAAAGCCUGACGGAGCAACGCCGCGUGAGUGAAGACGGCCUUCGGGUUGUAAAGCUCUGUUAUACGGGACGAAUAAUCUUGUGGUUAAUACCCAUGAGAAGUGACGGUACCGUAAGAGAAAGCCACGGCUAACUACGUG
rnacentral:rRNA from 1 species